UCGAUCCUGCCGGACCCGACUGCUAUCAGAGUGGGACUAAGCCAUGCGAGUUAACGCAGCAAUGCGUGGCACACGGCUCAGUAACACGUAGUCAACAUGCCCAGGGGACGUGGAUAACCUCGGGAAACUGAGGAUAAACCGCGAUAGGCCAAGGUUUCUGGAAUGGACACUGGCUGAAACCUAUAUGGCCCCUGGAUUGGACUGCGGCCGAUCAGGCUGUUGGUGAGGUAAUGGCCCACCAAACCUGUAACCGGUACGGGCUUUGAGAGAAGGAGCCCGGAGAUGGGCACUGAGACAAGGGCCCAGGCCCUAUGGGGCGCAGCAGGCGCGAAAAUUCUGCAAUAGGCGAAAGCUUGACAGAGUUACUCUGAGUGAUGCCCGCUAAGGGCAUCUUUUGGCACCUCUAAAAAUGGUGCAGAAUAAGGGGUGGGCAAGUCUGGCGUCAGCCGCCGCGGUAAUACCAGCACCCCGAGUGGUCGGGACGAUUAUUGGGCCUAAAGCAUCCGUAGCUUGUUCUGCAAGUCUUCCGUUAAAUCCACCUGCUCAACAGAUGGGCUGCGGGAGAUACUACAGGGCUAGGAGGCGGGAGAGGCAAGCGGUACUCAGUGGGUAGGGGUAAAAUCCUCUGAUCCACUGAAGACCACCAGUGGCGAAGGCGGCUUGCCAGAACGCGCUCGACGGUGAGGGAUGAAAGCUGGGGGAGCAAACCGGAUUAGAUACC
rnacentral:rRNA from 1 species